UACGGAAGGUGCGAGCGUUAAUCGGAAUUACUGGGCGUAAAGCGCACGUAGGCGGUUACUUAAGUCGGAUGUGAAAGCCCUGGGCUUAACCUGGGAAUUGCAUCCGAUACUGGGAGGCUUGAGUUUGGGAGAGGGAUGUAGAAUUCCAGGUGUAGCGGUGAAAUGCGUAGAUAUCUGGAGGAAUACCGGUGGCGAAGGCGGCAUCCUGGACCAAUACUGACGCUGAGGCGCGAAAGCUAGGGGAGCAAACGGGAUUAGAAACCCGUGUAGU
rnacentral:rRNA from 1 species